rnacentral:rRNA from 1 species
UCGAGAAUCAUUGUCAAUGCACGAAAGUGUGAACAUGCGACGCCGCGUGGAGGAAGACGGCCUUCGGGUUGUAAACUCCUGUCAGCAGGAAAGAAGGAUAGCAUUACUAAUAGCAAUGCUGUUUGACGGUACCUGCAGAGGAAGUCACGGCUAACUCUGUGCCAGCAGCCGCGGUAAUACAGAGGUGGCGAACGUUGUUCGGAUUUACUGGGCGUAAAGGGUCCGUAGGCGGCUUGGUGUGUCAAAUGUGAAAGCUCACAGCUCAACUGUGGAAUUGCAUUCGAAACUGCCGGGCUAGAGUACUGUAGGGGAGAAGGGAACACUUAGUGUAGCGGUGAAAUGCGUAGAUAUUAAGUGGAACACCGGUGGCGAAGGCGCUUCUCUGGACAGAUACUGACGCUCAUGGACGAAAGCUAGGGUAGUGAAAG